UCUGGGUGCUUAAUUUGACUUGUUUCCCCUGGUCACCAGUCUCCCCUCCGAUAUUCACAGGACAUCAAGCAGCUUCAGCCACGGGUAAGAGGCUUUUCACCCUGCCUGUUGGGUAGCCCAGAGGACCCACAAAGGUCAACCUGAGUCUCCACAGCCUCCUCCCCAGGGCAGUAGGAAUUGAUAUCUCACUUUUGCCAGAUUAGGCUUCUCACUCUUCUUGAGUAGGCCAUAAUCCACCUCUUCAGUAGGCCAUGCAUCUUGUCUCUGCAGUGCC
rnacentral:lncRNA from 1 species